AUUUUGAUGGCUGAGAUUUAUAGGCAAUAAAUUGUAAAUUUAUUAACGGGUUAUCCCUCUAAUUU
rnacentral:tRNA from 1 species